GAUGAACGCUGGCGGCGUGCCUAAUACAUGCCAGUCGAGCGAACGGACGAGAAGCUUGCUUCUCUGAUGUUAGCGGCGGACGGGUGAGUAACACGUGGAUAACCUACCUAUAAGACUGGGAUAACUUCGGGAAACCGGAGCUAAUACCGGAUAAUAUUUUGAACCGCAUGGUUCAAAAGUGAAAGACGGUCUUGCUGUCACUUAUAGAUGGAUCCGCGCUGCAUUAGCUAGUUGGUAAGGUAACGGCUUACCAAGGCAACGAUGCAUAGCCGACCUGAGAGGGGGAGCGGCAAAACGGGAACUGGGACCCGGUCGAGCCUCCUAGGGGGGGAACAAGGGGGGAUUCUCCAGAAAGGGGGGAAGGCCGGACGGAGCAACGCCGGGUGAGUAAGGAAGGUUUUCGGAUCGAAAAACUCUGUUAUGGGGGAAAAACAUAUGGGAAAGUAACUGUGCCCAUCUGGACGUUACCUAAUAAAAAAGCCCCGGCUAACUACGUG
rnacentral:rRNA from 1 species